rnacentral:rRNA from 1 species
UACAGAGGUCCCGAGCGUUGUUCGGAUUCAUUGGGCGUAAAGGGUGUGUAGGUGGCGCCGUAAGUCGGGUGUGAAAUUUCGGAGCUUAACUCCGAAACUGCAUUCGAUACUGCGGUGCUUGAGGACUGGAGAGGGGACUGGAAUUCAUGGUGUAGCAGUGAAAUGCGUAGAGAUCAUGAGGAAGACCAGUGGCGAAGGCGGGUCUCUGGACAGUUCCUGACACUGAGACACGAAGGCCAGGGGAGCAAACGGG